rnacentral:misc_RNA from 1 species
UUGUUAGUUGGUUGAUAGUUCCUUGUGUAAUAACUGGUUUAAUAAAACUAUAGUAAGUUAUACAGCCCCCCUUGUGUCCUGGGUCUAGAACAGAACGAGUCCAGGAGUCAAAUACUUUAGGAAGCUCGGGUUCAACAGCACUGUCAGAUACGUUAUUGUAUCAAUUCAGUUUCUCAAUGUGUUAAUGUUAAAGGAUAGUUGUCUC